rnacentral:tRNA from 1 species
GGGGGCGUAGCUCAGAUGGCUAGAGCGUUUGACUGGCAGUCAAGAGGUCAGGGGUUCGAUUCCCCUCGUCUCCA